GCCUUUGGCCAUCCACCCUGAACACGUCUGAUUUCGGAAGCUAAGCAGAGUCAGACCUGGUUGGUACUUGGGUGGGAGAUUGCGUGGGAACUGGGUGCUGUAGACU
rnacentral:rRNA from 1 species